UGCUCCUGGGCACAGCCGGGCCCUCUCGC
rnacentral:piRNA from 1 species